rnacentral:sRNA from 1 species
GUGGCCAGCAGCUCCAUUCCACUCACAGAAAUCGGGGGCUCUCGGGUUCUCUCGGUUUCUCAACGCUGGGUUCUCGGUUCUGGAUUCACCGUUCUCAUGGGCAAAUGGAUGUUUGUGCGCCUCUUUCUCUCCUCCACUUGCCAGCACUUGCCAAAUACACGGAAGAGCACGGGGCGAGAUGUGCGAAAACUGGAAAUGGAGGAGCCGAGUUGCAGCACACAAAAGCCGCAGGGAAACCCAAACUCACACACGCACACCGAACCAUUUUUAAGCCAAAGGAAGUCCAGGAAUGAAGGAAUCAGGCUGAGAUUCAGGGGACGCCGGAAGGAGAAGGGCAGUGCGCUCUGAGACAAGCGCAAAU